rnacentral:lncRNA from 1 species
UUAUAUUUGAACAAACUAUGACCUAAUGAAUGUCAUUGCUCUCAUGUGCAAAUGGAUUUCAGACUAUGAUGUUUUGCAGAUAAAAACACCAGAGGAAAAAAUGUCGACUUUGGGGGCAAGACUGCUAGAACAUGUGAAAAGUGAAGUUUAUCAUGCAUCACAGGGAUGGAGGCCAGAAGUGAGAAGGCUUUGUAACUAAAAAUGAGGCAGCUAUUGACCUUUGGCGUCCAUGCUCUUGGUUGUUUUAUUUUCUACGAGUAGUGGUGCCAGUAUUAGUCUGUUUAGACAAAUUUUGGUUCUGUUAAAGUAGAGAAAUUAUCCUUGUGUACCCCCUCCUCUCUGUAUGGGGGAGAUGCUGAUAAUAGUGGAGCAUAAUUCCUCUUUAUGUUUAAGAAUUCUAGGUAGUGGGGUUGGGGGUAGUUCUUGCCUAGAUUUCCUUGAUGUUAUUAGUGUCUUGUGAUACUAAAUCUGGUAUUGGCUCGCCUGGUUUCUUCAAAUGAAAUCGUAGGGGAAACCCCCUUUUUCUCAAAAA